rfam:Gossypium raimondii Chr02_contig_1407, whole genome shotgun sequence.
AAUAUGAUAAAGAUAAAUUAGAUUUUUCCCCUUGAUAUUCAGCUUUUUCCUCUUGAAAAAAUUCAAAUCCAACUAAAAAUGUUAAAUAUCUGGAGAAAAAAAAUAUGAUUUAUCAUUCUUCUAUU